rnacentral:rRNA from 1 species
AGUAAAGCUCCGGCGGUUUUGGAUGAGCCCGCGUCCUAUCAGGUUGUUGGUAAGGUAAUUGCUUACCAAGCCUAUGACGGGUAGCUGGUCUUAGCGGAUGACCAGCCAGACUGGGACUGUGACACGGCCCAGACUCCUACGGGAGGCAGCAACUAGGAAUCAUGCGCAAUGGACGAAAGUCUGACGCUGCGACGUCGCGUGGAGGAUUGACGGUCUUCGGAUUGUAAACUCCUUUUAUAUGGGAACAAGUUCUGAGUGUACCAUAUGAAUAAGUGCCUGCUAACCACGUGCCAGAAGCAUCGGUAAUACGUGGGGCACAAGCGUUAUCCGGGUUUACUGGGCGUAAAGAGAUGCGUAGGCGUCCCGAAAAGUUUUGUGUUAAAUCUCCCCGUUCAACGGGGAAACCGCAUGAAAAACUUUCGGGAUUGAGUCAGGUAGAGAAAGGGGGAAUUCCUGGUGGAGCGGUUAAAUGCGUUGAUAUCAGGAGGAACACGAAUGGCGAAUGCACCCUUUUGGAACUAGACUGACGCUUAGGGUCGAAAGCGUGGGUAGCAAAACGGAUUAGAUACCCGUGUAGUCCACGCCGUAAACGAUCCCUGUUAGAUGUUUGGUAGUUCGCUUAGAUUUUUUUCCGCUUGCGGAAAAGGGUUACGGUGGCUACUGAGUGUCGUAGCUAACGCGUUAAACAGGGCGCCUGGGGAUUACGGCCGCAAGGCUAAUACUCAAAGGAAUUGACGGGGACCCGCACAAGCAGUGGAGCGCCUGGUUUAAUUCGAUGAUCAGCGAAGAACCUCACCUGGGCUUGAACUAUAGCUGCAUCCCGGCAGAAACGCCGGGAGCCUUCGAGGGUGCUAUAGAGGUGCUGCAUGGCUGUCGUCAGCUCGUGUCGUGAGAUGUAGGGUUAAGUCCCACAACGAGCGCAACCCCUAUUCUGUAUUACAAUUAUUCAGAAGACUGCCUCGCCACAACGAGGAGGAAGGAGGGGACGACGUCCAGUCAUCAUAUCCCUUAUGUCCAGGGCUACACAGACGCUACAAUGGCUACUACAACGGGUUGCCAAGCCGCAAGGCGGAGCCAAUCCCAUCAAAAGUAGCCUCAGUUCAGAUUGCAGGCUGCAACUCGCCUGCAUGAAGCCGGAAUUGCUAGUAAUCGCGUCUCAGCACGGCGCGGUGAUACGUUCUCGGGUCUUGUACACACCGCCCAUCAGGGCACGGGAGUUGCUCUUGCUCAAAG